CCUACGUGAGGCAGCAGUGAGGAAUAUUGGUCAAUGGGCGCGAGCCUGAACCAGCAAAGUAGCGUGAAGGAUGACUGCCCUACGGGUUGUAAACUUCUUUUAUAAAGGAAUAAAGUGAGGCACGUGUGCCUUUUUGUAUGUACUUUAUGAAUACGGAUCGGCUAACUCCGUGCCAGCAGCCGCGGUAAUACGGAGGAUCCGAGCGUUAUCCGGAUUUAUUGGGUUGAAAGGGAGCGUAGAUGGGUUGUUAAGUCAGGUGUGAAAGUUUGCGGCUCAACCGUAAAAUUGCAAUUGAUACUGGCAGUCUUGAGUACAGUUGAGGUAGGCGGAAUUCGUGGUGUAGCGGUGAAAUGCUUAGAUAUCACGAAGAACUCCGAUUGCGAAGGCAGCUUACUAAACUGCCACUGACAUUGAUGCUCGAAAGUGUGGGUAUCAAACAGGAUUAGAUACCCUGGUAGUC
rnacentral:rRNA from 1 species